rnacentral:rRNA from 1 species
UACGAAGGGGGCUAGCGUUGCUCGGAAUCACUGGGCGUAAAGCGCACGUAGGCGGAUUGCUAAGUCAGGGGUGAAAUCCCAAGGCUCAACCUUGGAACUGCCUUUGAUACUGAAGAUCUUGAGUCCGGGAGAGGUGAGUGGAACUGCGAGUGUAGAGGUGAAAUUCGUAGAUAUUCGCAAGAACACCAGUGGCGAAGGCGGCUCACUGGCCCGGUACUGACGCUGAGGCACGAAAGCGUGGGGAGCAAACAGG